rnacentral:rRNA from 1 species
UACAGAGGUCCCGAGCGUUGUUCGGAUUUACUGGGCGUAAAGGGUGCGUAGGCGGUUGGGUAAGUCUGAUGUGAAAUCCCCGGGCCCAACCCGGGAACGGCAUUAGAAACUACCUGGCUGGAGGGUUGGAGGGGGGACUGGAAUCCCGGUGUAGCAGUGAAAUGCGUAGAUAUCGGGAGGAACGCCAGUGGCGAAGGCGAGUCCCUGGACAACACCUGACGCUGAGGCACGAAAGCUAGGGGAGCAAACAGG